CAAUAGCGUAUACUAAUGUUGUUGCAGUUAAAAGCUCGUAGUUGGAUUUCUGGGAUUUUCAGCCGGCCGGCUCUUAGGAGUUGUAGCUAGGUUUGCAAGUCUCAUCUUCUCACAAUUCUCACUGGCCUUAACUGUUCGGUGCAGAGGACUGAGUCGUUUACUUUGAGAAAAUUAGAGUGUUCAAAGCAGGCUAUCGCCUUGAAUAUAUUAGCAUGGAAUAAUGAUAUAGGACUUUGGUUCUAUUUUGUUGGUUGUUCGAGGACCGAAGUAAUGAUUGAUAGGGACGGUUGGGGGCGUCAGUAUUCUGAAGCGAGAGGUGAAAUUCUUGGACCUUCGAGACUAACAACUAGCGAAAGACGAUUACGCCUACGGAGUAGUUCUUCUUUAAUUCAAGAACGAAAGUUAGGGGAGUCGAAGACGAUCAGAUACCAU
rnacentral:rRNA from 1 species